CCGCGCCGCGACUUCGAUUGCAUAAUUAUGGCGGCUAAAAAUAAACCGUCGUCACGACAGGUACGACGAUCGAUUAGAAUGGUGUUCGGUGGCGGCCGCUCCGUGUGCCCCUCUACUAGUUCCCACCGGGGGGAUGAUGAUGACGAUUGAGCGUCAACAACAAUAUUGUGUCUUUUUUGCAUUGUUAUUUAUAGAAGCAAAAAAACCUCCCUCAGCUGCUGCUGGCAGUGAUAAGUUGCUGUGAUAAGUUGCGGAAACGAAAGUGAUUCACUGAGGGACGAAAGGUUGACAGAUUUCGUGCGGUGAAAUGGUUUCAUCUACAUUGCACUUGAAGCUAACGAUAAUAGACACAGCGGCAGCAAGCAUUUUCCGCAGCUUAUGAGAGGAUAUUUGAAGAUUUGGAGGUUAUGUUUUAAACAUUGUACAAACAUAUUGAUAUAAUAAGGAUGAAUCAAGAGAUUUUUUUAUAUAAAAACUUCCAGAUAGACGAAGAGGCAGUGCGUUGUCAUGAUAGAAUAUUUCAACCUGAUGUCGGGUCAGUAGAACCCCGAUUAUCCGCGGAAUAGGCAGUUUUUAGCAUGAAAGCUAUAUUUCAACACAGAAAUCAUUAAACUAUCCAUCUCUAAAGUGUCGUACACUAGUGGCAAAAUAAUGCAAAAGCCAUGACUAAAAAAAGAGCUUGAGUCUAUCAGUCACUGACAAAUUCUGGGAAGACCUAUAGAUUUACUAUGGAACUCGCUGUCGCGAAUAAUACUCAUCGAAGAUAAUCCACUUGCGGAUAUUCGGGGUUCUCAUGUAUUAAGAGACUGGUCAGGAACAUCAUGACACGAUAGUUUUAGCACUGAAGCUUGUCAUCUUUUUUGUAGUUGAGUUAGAUUACAUUGUCCAUUGCUGUUCCGAGUUCAAAAUACAACAAUAUGUAUCCUUGCCAUCUCC